ensembl:lncRNA
UUUUAGUUAAUAAAUGAUUUAAACAGUGUUUUCUAUGUGAGUUCUUGCCUUAUUUAAAAAAAAAAUAUCAAAUUGAGAUGUUACAAGCAUAUAUAAACAAUCCAAAUGACACGUGUGGCCUUACACUCCAGUGGGCUUGCGAACACUUAUCAGCAUGCUGACUGGACUGAAGCAGUAAAUGAAGAACAGGACUCCAGAGAGACAAAAGAAAAUGGAGAGAGGAGAUAAAAGUGAAAAAGCAGAGAAGGUCUUAAGGGUUUGUUUUUAGGUGUACAUCAUGUCUGGUGCUUAGAUUCCAAUAUGUAUGCAGCUUGCCAAUAGCUCAGGCAUCUUGUUUGAAAUCACUUCCCUAAACUGCGAGUCAGGAUAUUAUACAUUUUUGAAGAUCUAAAAAAAAAAAAAGGUUGGGAUGAUGUAAUACAAUAAUGCAACCAGAAGCUAUACAGCUUGAUAAUAUGAACUAUAAUUCAUUACACUAACUAUACAAACAUUAAACAAGACAAGUGUUAUGCGAACCAUGUAAACAAGAGCACAAAGAUGGAAACAAGAGUUUAGAAAGUAAACAUUGACUCACUGAAGUAACGGACGAGACCGUGCCACAAGAACUGAAAACACAGGAAUUAAAUACACAUUCUAACAAGGUAAUACAGAAUACUGAACAUGAUAGCAAAUCAAAUCAGUAACCAGAGUGACAAGGGUUGAGAUGGAGUCGAAGAGCCAGGGUGACACCAUUGGUCAGGAGGGCCAAGGCGGAGUCGACAGCUCCUGCAACGGAGGCGGAGGCAGGGAUUCCGAAGACUGCAGUGGCUUUUCACUCACGGUGGGCUCAGACAGACGCUCCAUGCAGAUGGGUGAUGAUGGGCUGGGCUCUGGAACUGGCGAUGCACUGGAUGCACUGGGAAAGAUGCUCUCCAAACACCUAAUGAUGGACUCCUUUCAGUCAAGUCCUGUGGUGUCUGGGAGGUCUACGGGAUGAUGGUAAUUCACCCGAUCCAGAGCAGUGAUUUCAGGGUCUCGUCGUCGAACGGUGUGUUGAUAGCGAGAUGAUAAAACCCUUCAAAAUAGUCCAAUAAAUUGUGGCUCAUUUGAGUCACAGCAGCGAAUUAAGCUGCAUAGUCCUUUUGUCUUCUGUCAAAGACAAGGGUUAGAAAGACAAACCCUAACCUAACCACAUGAAGAUGAAGGAUUGUUCAAUCCAACACACAGGUAAACAUUGACACAACAGUUAAGAACCAUCAAUAAGACCGGACCACAAGAACUGAAAACACAGGAACUUAAAUAAACAGGCUAACGAAGUGACACAGCUGAACAUGAAAGCAAAUCAAAUCAGUACCCAAAGUGACAAAUGUAGACAGGGGAAUGGUGCAAACAAAAACAGUCCAAACUGAACUAAAAACAUGACAACAAGUCAAAUCAAAUAAAUCAUCAAAUUAGAUGCUACAAUUUAACAGAUCUAAUGGAAUUCUCUCAUUCAAUUUAAAUCUUUUUCUUUGUGCAUGUCUUCACUUUUUAGAGUGUUUCUAAUGCAAGGUUUAUAUUAUUUAUUUUCUAGGCCAGAGUAAAUAUCCAUGGGAUAUGAGAUUAAAUGCAAAAGAGAUUGUAUCUCUGAUUCUUCAGAUGUAUUGUAACACUAUCGUUCUUUCUGUAUCUCAUCACUCAAUCAAAAUUCAGCACUGCCAUCAUAGGAAUAAAAUAUAUUUUAAAAUAUAUUAAAAUAUAAAAAAAGUUAUUUAAAAUAGUAAUAAUAUUCACAAUAUUUUGAUCAAAUAAAUGCGACCAUCGUUAAAAAAUGACCUCUUUCAAAAAACAUCUUUCCAAAUCUUAAUAACCCUGAUCUUUUGAACAGUAGUGUGUACAGGUCCUUCUCAAAAAAUUAGCAUAUUGUGAAAAAGUUCAUUAUUUUCCAUAAUGUAAUGAUAAAAAUUAAAC